rnacentral:rRNA from 1 species
CACGCAGGCGGAUGCGCGCGUGGGGUGUGAAAUCUGGCCGCUUAACGGCCAGGCGCCAUCCCAUACGGCGCGUCUGGAGUGAUGCAGAGGUCGGUGGAAUUGCCGGUGUAGUGGUGAAAUGCGUAGAGAUCGGCAGGAACACCCAGGGGGAAACCAGCCGACUGGGCAUCUACUGACGCUGAGGUGCGAGAGCGUGGGGAGCGAACC